rnacentral:rRNA from 1 species
GUCUCUAUGAAGUUACAUAGAGUCUAGCCUGCCCAUUGAAAUAUUUUAAAAGGCCGCGGUAUCCUAACUGUGCAAAGGUAGCAUAAUCAUUAGUUUUUUAAUUGAAGGCUAGUAUGAAGGGCUGGACAAAGAAAAAACUCUCUUUAUAUUUAUAUUUGAACUUUACUUUUAAGUGAAAAGGCUUAAAUAAUUUUAAGGGACGAUAAGACCCUAUAAAUCUUUAUAUUAACUUAUUUAUAUAUUAAUGUAAACUUUAAUAAAAUAAGAUAUUUUGUUGGGGCGACAAGAAUAUAAACCAACUGUUCUAAAUAUAAACAAAACUAUUUGUUUUUCAUAGAUCCUUCAUUUAGAUUAUAAGUUUAAGUUACUUUAGGGAUAACAGCGUUAUUUUUUUUAAGAGUUCUUAUCGAAAAAAAAGUUUGCGACCUCGAUGUUGAAUUAAAAUUUCUCUGUGGUGCAGCCGCUACAGUA